GGGCCGGUAGUUCAGCGGUAGAAACAAUUGCUACAUUAUCCGCUUCGCAUGCGGAAUGUUAUGAAUAACCUGUAUGGUCAGGGGUUCGAUUCCCCUACGGUCCA
rnacentral:tRNA from 1 species